rnacentral:rRNA from 1 species
GAGUUUGAUCCUGGCUCAGGAUGAACGCUGGCGGCGUGCUUAAUACAUGCAAGUCGAACGAAGGUUAUUGAGCUUGCUUAAUAACCUUAGUGGCGAACGGGUGAGUAAUACAUAAGCAACCUGCCCAUUAGACUGGGAUAACAGUUGGAAACGACUGCUAAUACCGGAUAGGUAAGACCAAGGCAUCUUGGAGUUAUUAAAGUUUAGAUACACUAAUGGAUGGGCUUAUGGCGCAUUAGCUAGUUGGUGAGGUAACGGCCCACCAAGGCGAUGAUGCGUAGCCGACCUGAGAGGGUGACCGGCCACAUUGGGACUGAGACACGGCCCAAACUCCUACGGGAGGCAGCAGUAAGGAAUUUUCGGCAAUGGGCGCAAGCCUGACCGAGCAACGCCGCGUGAACGAAGACGGCCCUAUGGGUUGUAAACUGCUUUUGCGCGGGAAGAAUAACCCCCUCGUGAGGGGGGAUGCCGGUACCGCGCGAAUAAGGAUCGGCUAACUCCGUGCCAGCAGCCGCGGUAA